AAAAAUAAAAUAAAUAAGUUAUAAUGAUUACCAAUUUUUUAAUGUUACCCCUUUACUACGUGUGAUAAAGGGGCAAACACAACAUAUUCAUCUACUUAUGUGUUCAAUACCACACAAAAAUAAUAUUGUUUGACCUUAAUACACUAUAAAUUGAUCAAAUCAUAUUCUAUUUCGUAAGACAUAGAAAAAAUAUGGUUAGAACUCUCAAGUUUGUUUAUGUUAUAAUUUUAAUUCUUUCCCUAUUUCUUGUUGCCAAGGGGGGUGGCAGUAAGCAUUUUUUUUAAAACCAUUUUCAAAUUUCCUUCUUUAAUAUUUACUUCACACAUAAUGUUUUAUAUCAUUUUAUUAACAUUAUUUUAUUCUCUUCUUUCAUUGUAGAAAAAAUUUAUUGUGAAAAUGCGGCUAGUUGUCCACGCCUUAUGUAUCCUUUAGUUUAUAAGUGCCUUGACAACAAAUGUGUAAAGUUUAUGAUGAAGUCACGUUUUGUUUGAUAUAAGUAUAUCGCGCCCAAGACGGUACACAAACGCCAUGCAAGGAGGAGUGAGUCCUUGCACUAGCAAAAAAAUCUAUGCAACAUACCUUAUUGUUGUACCGCGUGUUGCCAUUUAAUUUUUUUUACUAGCAUCCAAUAAUUGUAUCUUUUAUAUUUUUCGUUUUAUAACUUCAUGGAUGUUAAAAGUAUGACUCUACAUUCAGAGAUGUUGAUAAUAAAAUGAAAUUAGGCACUAAAUAAUAUUAUAAUUGAAUUGUGUCGUAUCUCUUAUUGACGCAGUACGAAAGCGUAGGCUAGCAAGCGCUAAACCUAAAUUGAAAGAGACAAGUUUGCAACCGACAAACUUGUGAAAAUAGGGUUCCGGAAUCCACCAGAAAUUGAGAAAAACUCACUAAAAUAUUAU
rnacentral:lncRNA from 1 species